AACUGCCGCCCAUGUACCCAGAGUCGAGUACGGAGAUCGUGGACAUCUCUGAUGAGGACUAGGGUAAUGCGGAUUAUUUAAUCUAUGUAGUACGCAAGUUUUCCUCUUUUGCAUGUUUUGUAUGGAUUUAAGGUUUGAAGCAUAAGGUAUCAGAUGCGAGCAAAUUUGAGGUGUGGCCGGUCAUUUCCGCAAACACGCCCGGGGUGGGUCCACGGGCUUCUGAGAGCCCGGAUUUGUUGUUUGCGGCUAUAGAUGCUCAUACUCAGUUUGUGUGCGUGUGUUACGUGGCGUCCAAUAUUUUCCUAAAACCGUGUUGUCGUAUAUGGGACACCAUUCACAUCCCUUGAGCCCUUCUUUUCUCAGCGGUCCGACCAAGAUCUAACACUCCACAAGCAUCUAUUCUGGACAAAUUGCCCUAAAAAGUAUUUCGGAUGAAACCGGCUUCCACUUAAAUGCCCAAGCUGACAAUCUGUACUUUUUUAAUCACCGACGGCAAUCUCGAUCAAUUCGAUGCCUCUAGUAGCAUCACCUUGUCCUCUCCCCCUUAUUUCACACAGUGUGCGCAUUUCCUUCAAUCCCGUACGGAUUUACUUCUUAGGUCCCACUAUCAAAGACUAUUUGUUGGCUAUAAUUAUUUGACACCUUCGUCCCCGAACCCCGUGUCGCUCCCCAUGGGGCGAGGAGUAGCAAACCUAACCCUAGCCUCCAGGCCUCUGCCACCACCACUCCCUUCUCACCGCCACGUUGUCGGUGGGAAAGCCCACGCGGCGACCAAGGACGGCAGCGGAGGGACAUCUUGGGUUUCUUCUUCUAGUCGUUUGGGCGCGUGUGUUCUAGCUGAGCAUGGUUUCUUGGUGUUGCUUCGAUGGAUUUCCAGGGGUCAUGUCGAGAUGCAAUGGUUGCUGUAUCAGGUUAAUUCAGUCAUUUAGCAAGGUUCCAUUGCAGAAGACAUAAUGGUACAAAGUUUAACCAAUCAAGCAGUGGCCGACCCAAGAUUGGGACGAACAAGGGUUAUUGUUGGGUUAUUCAAUGGAGCAAGGUACCUCACCUACUCAUCACUAGCGACUGCGAAGCUAUCAAGCAUUGUCAUCGUCCUCGCCCUGGCUAACCUCAACCUCUGAGUUCGCCAUUAUAACCAAGUACAGCUCCUAAACUUGUUGGCCACCUAGUCAUACGCUAGGCAUAUGUAUGGAUCUUAAAAGUAGGCAACAUGUGGCUCUUAGGGUUCAAGUGUUGCCAUCUUCCAAGUUAUUGAAUGAUGUUACAAAACUGACUGGCCACAGAUGAAUGCGAAACAGAAAAAAACCCAGAUUCACCAACCAUACAUUAUCAACCAUUAAUGGUGCCACAGUGUACAGAAGAUUUAAUUGGCUUGUAGCAUGUGCAUUAUGUGUACGCCAUUCAAUGAUAAUCUACUUACUGUCCUAUUCACCUAGUACUAGCCAAAGAGAACCACACUCAAAAUAACCUGCAAAGGGACCCAGUAUGAUCUCAUUUGAUAUGACAAAAAUAAUCCAUGUGUGUAUAAGCAUAAACAAGAUGUCUGAGAUCUACCAACCAUUCCCCUACAACAUAGUAAAGCUUAACAAUUUCCACCAUAAUCAAGACUGUAGGGGAAGUAAGAAUAACUGAAGUUGUUGCAAAUUAGCUUGUACUUAUGGGGGGACAUAUUUCCAUGUAUAGAACAGCAUACACAUAGCAAUUAUCAACAGUAGGAAUCAUGCAGCCUCACAACAAUAUGAGAAUUAUCUCACUAUCAACAUUGUCUCGUACAAGCAUGAGCUUUAUCACGCCAUUUUUUCAGAUACAACUUCCUGGAUAUCAACAUGGCUCCCAGAGUGACCAGUAAAUUACACUGUACUAUAUUUAUAACAAGCAAAAUUUUAGAGUUACUUCUCAAGACCGAAUUUACGCCUGUCGCAAACAAUACCAAAUGACGGUGUAUGUUAUUCAUGUAUCCAAACUAAACAGUUGAACAGAUAUUGGGAGCCAAAUUUUGACUGAACGAAACCCGAAACUGCAUCCAUUUGGGCUAGAGGAAGUGCUAGGAAACAAUUAUAACCAUAUACCAAUGUUCUUAUGGUGGUAAGGUGUCCCAAGGCAAGCACUCACCGCCUUGAUGCCUAAGCGCCUAAGGUGGUUAAAAUUCUAAGGUGCUGCCUAUGUCCAAAGCGGGAUGCCUUAAAAACAAUGCCAUAUGCACCUUCUUAUUUGAAAAUAAGUGGCAUUUGAAUCCGAAACUAUUAGGCAUGCUUUCACCGUAAGUGACAUUUAAGAUAUGACCUAUUCACUGAAACAUCCAAGCUGUUACUCUAGUACCGACUAUACCAACAAAUGCACAUCAGAACAGUGUUAGAUCAUAUUGGACAUCUGAGUUGUUCUCCGUCUUAGUUUACUUACCCAUACCCAAUGUAUCCACAAACCAUUGUGCAUUCACUACCGGUAUUUUCAAAAUACAUCUUUCUAUUACAUCUUAGUACCACGUUCAUGUACGAAAGGGGAAUACCAGUCUACAUAAUCAGAUAGAAUGUACUUACUAAUGUACUCCCUUUGUAAAGAAAUAUAAGAUCAUUUAGAUCACUAAGAAAAAAACAAUUUGAUAUAAGAUGUAUCGGUAAAAACAUAGUUCAUCUUUCAGGUACAUGACAAAAUAAAAACCAAUACAGCAAACAAGUAAAAUUGUCAGGAUGUCACAACAUACUAUAUAUAGUAUCUUCGAUGCUAUUCAUUUCCACGCCCUCAGGGUAGCUAUCAAACUCCUUGGUGAAAGUGAAAUGAACGACCUCACUCUUUUCUCAGUCCAGAGCUCACAGGAGUCCCAUCGAUGGCCUUAUGAGAUUCACAUGGACCGUGGUGGCUCCAAAACGUGCACAAAGUCAGCAUGAAACAAGCUGGACCCAGUAUGGAGAUUGGGUGAGUCUGCAAAGCUGGUAGGCGGGGGACCUUACAAGUAGAUUUGAAAGAGACAAAACAAACUGAGCUAACAAAGUGCAACGAGGGGAGAGGGUAACGUGGCGCAACUAGAGCCAUCAAAUCGAGAUUGUGGGCAGAGAUUAGAAAUUAUAGAUUGUCAACUUUGGCAUUUAAGUGGAAGCUAGUUUUGAUCGCCCCUGGAGCGUUAGAUCUUGGAGCGACGGCUGAGAAAAGGAAGGCUCGAAGGAUAUUAGUGUUGUCCCAUAUUGGAAGUUCCGUGUGCUGUACAAACCCUAUAAGUCCAAAUCCCGAUGGUUUUGGACGUAUCUAUGGCGACAUCCACCCCUGCAAUAAGGAAUCCUCAAUCAUACCCACCCCCGAUCCAGAUCCCAGUCGUCUAGUUUCGUCACACGGCCCCUGCCUCAUGGACGGUUUAGGCCUUGUGUCAAGUAAAACUAGGCAGUAGUACUUCUAAAUCUGCAAUGUACUUAUGUCUUGUGAUGUACUCCAAUGGCAAACAAUUAUGUAAUGCACACAGUCGAUCAUGAUGUGUAUUUAUGACUGUUA